CAGCGGAGCAUGUGGUUUAAUUCGAAGCAACGCGAAGAACCUUACCAGAUCUUGACAUCCAAUUGACCAUCUUUUAAUCGAGAUUUUGCCUUCGGGUACAAUUGAGACAGGUGGUGCAUGGUUGUCGUCAGCUCGUGUCGUGAGAUGUUGGGUUAAGUCCCGCAACGAGCGCAACCCUUGUGUUUAGUUGCAAACAGGUCAAGCUGUGCACUCUAGACAGACUGCCGUGGACAACACAGAGGAAGGUGGGGAUGACGUCAAAUCAUCAUGCCCCUUAUGAUCUGGGCUACACACGUGCUACAAUGGCCGGUACAACGGGCAGCGGAGGAGCGAUCCGGAGCGAAUCCUAAAAAGCCGGUCCCAGUUCGGAUUGCAGGCUGAAACUCGCCUACAUGAAGUUGGAGUUGCUAGUAAUCGCGAAUCAGAAUGUCGCGGUGAAUGCGUUCCCGGGUCUU
rnacentral:rRNA from 1 species